rnacentral:snoRNA from 1 species
AAGGCUACACUUUCAGGGAUCAUUUCUGUAGUUCGUAAAGAAAACAUUGAACUCUAAGGCUACACUUUCAGGGAUCGUUUCUGUAGUUC